rnacentral:sRNA from 1 species
UAGUAAGGAUCGUCGACUAAGAACGCCACAUCCUGUGGCAACAUCGACGUCAGCGCAUCCUUGCGCA